CAUCCUUCUGUACAAUUCUAAUUGUGUUUAUUGCAAACAAAGAAAACAAAAUCAACUCUUUGUCUUCCUACAUUUUUCUAUUUAGACUCCCUAGACUUGUGGUACCCUUUCUCUCCUCCCAUCCUCCCACAACCAAGCCUCACUUUCAGAGGUAUUUUGUGCUCUAGUGGUCACUUCUGGCAGCUCUAGGUGCUCUCCAGAGCAUCAGAUAAAACUUUCUUUGUGAGGUAUACCACAUUUUCUCCAGCGGCAGUUUAAGCCAGACUCCAUCACUGGUUCCUCUGUUGUCUCUAUAACUAGGGCAUUGGUGAAGGUUGGCUAGAUGAGACUCAACCCAAACAAGACCACAACCUGACUUACAGGGUGGGGGAAUCAUUGGAAAAAUCACAGAAGUUAUAGGAACAGCCCAGACUGAUGGGAUAUGAGCACAGUUUGUUUCUAAAGACCAAAAUCUGGGGGGGUCUUGUUAGCUCCCUGGUGGUUUCUGGACACGUGGAAAGCAGCGAUGUAUUUCUUAUUACUUGCAUUUAGCAAGAAGUUUGCUUUGGCAUAUGGCUGUUACCAUACUUACCCAUGCAUUUGUCGCUUCAAGGUUAGAUUGCUACGGUGCAUUCCACAUGAGGUUACAACAUGAUACAGCAGCUUGCUCGGAAUGUGGCAGCCCAGUUUUUAAUCUCUGGAAGUUCAUAACACUGGUGCAGGGGUUGUCAAAUGAAUUACAGGUAAAUAGUUAAGGUGUUGAUUUUGACCAGUAAACUCUAAAUGGUUACAGUACUCUCAAGUCCUUCUUCAGUCACCUGAUGUACUCAGACUAAGAUUCCAUCGGUAUCAGAGAGAACUGGGCUGGUGGCACACUUCUCAGUUGGAAUCAAUGGCUCUUAAAUUCACUUUUCAUCUAGUUGGCCAGAGCUCAGAUUUGAUUACCUUUAGGACCUGCUGUAAAUGUUAUAUAUGUCCCUGGGCUUUCCCUGAAGUGACAGGGAGGUGGACUGAACAGGGUUGCUUGAGGGAUGGAGGAAGGCAUGAGUCUGUAAGACUAUAAAUGGAGCCUAUAUUAGGACUGGGAAAGUCUCCUCUGGGUUGUUCUGUAAUGUACUAGGAAAUCCUGCGACGCUGAAUACAUGUAACAUGCCUAAGGCAUGGAAAAGGCACAAUAAGUCUAGAAAACUGAAAAAUAAGAUAUUAAUUUCUGCAUCAUAUAUAAAUUGUAUAUUCAUCAUGAUAAGUGUAGAACUGAUAAAUGAAAUUGUUUUUAAUUUAUUAAUGUAACUUCUGUUCACCAUCCACACUACACUUGCCUGCACUGUAACUUCUGUUCCAUAUUGUAAUUCAAACCCCAUUUUAAAACGCUCACUCCAUUUUGUAAAAGCUUCCUCCAACCUUCAUUUUUGCAAACCCUGCUGUAAUCUUAUUAGUUUAGUUUAGAUGUGUGAAUGAGGUAUGUAUGGAUGACAGAAUCAACCUCCAGCCCCAGCCUGUCCUGAUGAGAUAAAGUUCAAAUACCAACAGCUGAAGACCUAGACAACAGCCCUAAAAAAAGUAAGAAGCAUCCACCCUAAAAAGAAAAGGACAACAGAACAACAGAAGGAAGAUCAAAGCCAGGUUCAAGGCUGAAAGUCACGCCUGCAAUUGGUGGGUGAUCAAUCCAAACCCAGAGGCAGCGUGACACAGCAAGACCUAUAGACUUUGAAUCCAAACUAAAAGCCUAUAAAAAAGAAGGGUGAGAUGAGAGACUCUGGGUAACAUUCUGCUGCCAACAUGGAAGGACAUCAGUGCCUGCCCAACAGAGAUCCAGCUUGUCCUUGUACCCGGCUUUCCUGGCCAGUUAGCCGCCACAAGCUACGAACCCAAGCUACAAAAUCAAGCUAUGAACUUAAGCUAUCUUCAGGACUGGUAACUAUGCAGCAGCUGCAGAACAUCUGAUGGAUAUGUGUGUGUGUGUGAAUGUGUGUGUAUUAGGUAUAAUGUGUGUGUAUAAGAAUUAAGAUAUUAGUUAUUAGUCAUAAAUCAAAUUGUUAUCAUAAUAAAUGUGGUAUCUUUGUCUUGC